UGCUUGUUGUGACUGGAGGAGCGCAUGUGUGAGGUCCUCCACCAGCGCUGCCAUUGAGGAGCAUUGAGUCAGUGAGUGGGAGAGGUUUGUUUGAGACAGGCCGCAAUGGAGAGACCAGCGCACAGGGAAGCGAGGGAACAGCAGGCUCCUUCCAGCAGCGCAUCGAGAUGCAAAUACUUGAUGGGCCAAGACUGUGUCAUAUUUCAUCAGUACAGCAUCUACCAGCUGCUCCAACCAAACAGCAGACAAACACUGGAAGGACCAGGACAAUGUAACAUUGCUUCAGAUCAAAGCCAAGUGUGACCAGCUCAUUAUAAUAAACAGCAGGGGUCCUGCCUGGUGGUAGAAUGCUGGAAAUGAGGCUUUCUGCUGUCAGUGAGAGGCUUUCAAAUUGAACCGAGAUACACCAAAACAGCUGCUGGACUUUUCACCACCAGCAAAAACACGAUGUGACCAGGGCAAUAACAACAUGAAAAACGUGACAGGAAGUAGGGAUUAAAUUAAAAUGGAGUUGGAGGGCUGUUUGAGCUUUAUUCAUUUUGCAAGCUGCUCUCUGGGAGAGGGAGGGAUUUCUUCUGUAAAAAUCCACCUUAAGUCUGGUACGCAACCAAGAGUUUCACUCUGCUUCUGACAGUCUUUGCUCCUGUGAGUAAAUAUGGGGUAAAUUAUUGAACAACUAGAGUAUCAGGUGGAAUUGAAUUUCAUUUAUUAUUUUAUACUGGAUGACACUUUAUUUCCACAUCUUCUGGUACAUUGGGUGACAGUUUAAUUGUGUGUCUGACUAUCUCCACUUGAGAUUACUCUUUUAAUUUGGUUAAUAUGGUGGUCAAUCAUGUGACGCUGCAGAGAUUCUUCAGCAAAAUCAAAAAAAAAUUGUAAUUACACAAGACGAAAACAGAGAGAAAAACAAUGCUCCCAACCUAUUUCUCAACAGCACUAUUUGGUCCCUUGAGCCUGCUCUGCCAUUGUACAGAAUCAGGGCUGAUCUGACAUUCUUCACGGCUGCUUUCCUGUAAUUUUCUCAUAAUUCUUCAUCAAGAAUCUACAUCAGCCUUCAUUUUAGACUAGGCCCGACUUUGCCUCCCUGUUCUGUGGCAACAAGUUCCACAGGCUCUCAACGCUCCACAGAAGAAAUUCCUCCUCAUCUGUCUUAAAUUGGUGGUGGCCCUAUGUUCUGAGACAAUGCACUUUGGUCUGAGAUUCUUCCAGCAAGUGAAAAAUCCUCUCAACAUUUACCCUUUCAAGCCUAAUUUAAUACGUUUCGUCACUUCUCAUUCUUCUGAACUCCAGUGAAUAGACUCCCACGAAGUUUAGCCUUUGCUCACAUGACAGUCCCUCCAUACAAGGGAAUAUCCUGGAGAACAUUCUCUGAACGACCUCCAAUAAAAUAAUAUCUUUCAUUCCGUAAGGGGGCCAAAAUUAUUCGCUGCAUUCGAGAUGUGGUCUCACCAGCCCCUUGUACAGUUGCAGGAAGACAUCCCAACUUUACUUCAAGAGAGUUGGAGAUUUGAAGUGACAUUGUUCCACAAGCCUUCCUGAUUACCUGCUGCAACUGUGUGCCCACAUUUCUUAACACAGGUUUAAAUCCAGAGAAAUUACAUCAAAUAUUAAAUCUCUAAAUUAUAUCUGAAAUGGUUUGGCCCAAACACAUCCUGUGAACUAUGGAAUUUUCUUUCAUGA